AUGGUUAAACUGUUAAAUGCUAAAAUCAAGACAGGGUACAAGAGGGAGCAUAUCAACCUGGGUUGUGACGUGGACUUUGACAUCGCUGGGCCCUCAAUCCGGGGUGCUCUGGUGCUUGGCUAUGAGGGUUGGCUGGCUGGCUACCAGAUGAAUUUUGAGACCUCGAAGUCCUGAGUGACCCAGAGCAACUUUGCAGUUGGCUAUAAGACGGACGAAUUCCAGCUUCAUACUCAUGUCAAUGAUGGGACAGAGUUUGGUGGCUCCAUUUACCAGAAGGUGAACAAGAAGUUGGAGACUGCCUUCAAUCUUGCCUGGACUGUAGGAAACAGUAACACUCGCUUUGGAAUAGCAGCCAAAUAUCAGGUCGAUCCUGAUGCCUGUUUUUCGGCCAAAGUGAACAACUCCAGCCUGAUUGGCUUAGGGUACACCCAGACCCUAAAACCAGGUAUCAAACUGACUCUGUCAGCCCUGCUGGAUGGCAAGAACGUCAAUGCGGGCGGCCACAAGCUUGGUCUAGGACUGGAAUUUCAAGCAUAAAUGAAUAUUGUACAAUCGUUUAAUUUUAAACUAUUUUGCAGCAUAGCUACCUUCAGAAUUUAGUGUACCUUUUAAUGUUGUAUGUUGGGGAUGGGAGAGUUGAUAAAUACCACGUUAGACCUCCAGGCUAAAGAUGACUAGGCUUUAAGGUGUUUACCAUUUCAGAGGUACAGCCGAAACCUCAUUCCAGAAAGGGGCCU